ACUCCUACGGGAGGCAGCAGUGGGGAAUAUUGCGCAAUGGGGGAAAGCCCUGACGCAGCAACGCCGCGUGAAUGAAGAAGGCCUUAGGGUUGUAAAGUUCUGUUUUCUGGGGACGAUAAUGACGGGUACCAGAGGAGGAAGCCACGGCUAACUACGUGCCAGCAGCCGCGGUAAUACGUAGGUGGCAAGCGUUGUCCGGAUUUACUGGGCGUAAAGGAUGCGUAGGCGGAUGUUUAAGUGAGAUGUGAAAUACCCGAGCUCAACUUGGGUGCUG
rnacentral:rRNA from 1 species